CAAGUUUCCAUGCAUUUGUUUUCUGGUUAUGGGGUUGCAGCUUAACUAGGAGCAUGCACUGUACUUUUGAAUGUUUUGUCAAGUAUAUUUUGGUUCAUACACCUGAUGAGUGUCAAAUAUUUGAGACACCUUGAAAAGAAGAUGGAGUUUUAAAUUACUGUUCCCCCUAAAUUGCAUACUGAUACAUGUACAUAAUUAUGACAUCACUUCCUUUAAAAAUUGUAAAGCUAAGAGAAUGUUAGUGAUGUUUUAUUGUAGUAAAUUGUUAUUUUUAAAUGAGCUAAAACUGUGACUUACCACAGCUAGUACUUGGUUCCUUAAUGCUUCAGAAUUUCUCCAUAAGGACCUAGUUUCAAUGGCACAAAGUCUAGUGUUUGGGGAAUAUUAGAAAAAUCACUUUUGCAGCCUGAGCCAUCAGAGGAAGGGAGGAGUUUGCAGGUCAAGUAAACUUUUUGGUCUGUGAAAUUACUU
rnacentral:lncRNA from 1 species